UACAGAGGUGGCAAGCGUUGUCCGGAUUUAUUGGGCGUAAAGAGCUCGUAGGCGGUUCGGUAAGUCGAAUGUGAAAUCUCCACGCUCAACGUGGAGGGGUCAUUCGAAACUGCCGUGACUUGAGUACGGUAGGGGAGUGUGGAAUUCCCGGUGUAGCGGUGAAAUGCGCAGAGAUCGGGAGGAACACCCGUAGCGAAGGCGGCACUCUGGGCCGAUACUGACGCUGAGGAGCGAAAGCGUGGGGAGCAAACAGG
rnacentral:rRNA from 1 species